UCUUCUCACUUCAUAUUUAGUUUUCAAUUGUAACCAAGAUAUAUGCUCAUUACCGUGUCACCAACAUUUUAUUAUAAUCUGGCAAUAUCUAAAAGUAUUUUGUUAAUCUUCAUCGGAUGGAACUCUUCCCCCACCAACACUUAUGAACCCAGAAAAAGAAAAUUCUCCAUCAAUUGCUGAUUAGAUUUACUGCAAGAUGGCCAAACAAACCACCAAACAAUCUAGAGAAGAUAUGAUGAGUAAAAAAAAGAAAGAGAAUGAGCAAGACGACAGAAGAUUAAGAACAAUCCGGAAGAAUACGAAAAGCAAAAACAGAAAGAAAAGGAGCGUUACCAGAAAAGGAAAAGCGAAGGCAAAAUUAAAGUUAUUGGCGAUUUAAGUGACAGAGAUAAAAGAAAAAGACGAAAAACAUGGAUACAUCAUAAUAGAACAUAUAGGGAAAAAAGAAGAAAGUUCAUUUUGGCGCAUCAAGGCAGCAAAUAUCAUUACAUACAGGUGUUGCUUACAGCAAGGAUCGGGUAAGCUCAUUUUGCACUAUAUCUCCGAGUCUUAGACAUGAUGCCAAAGCAAUUGCAGCUCACUUGAUUCCAAUUUUAGAACGUUUUUCCACGCCAUUGAUAAAUACCAUCUAUUUUCUUUCGGAUAGCCCUAGUACACAAUACCGCAACAAGACGAUGUUUAAUAUCAUUGGGUAUUAUUUGCCAACUAAAUUUAUAAAUAUCAACAAGAUUUCUUGGUCAUACAGUGAGGCACAUGGCAAAGGUGCCCCGGACGGAGUUGGGGCAACCUUAAAACUUACAGCGGACCGAUUGGUAGCGGAAAAUACAGACAUACCCUGUUACGAAAAAUUUGUGGAUGUAGUUAAUAAAAAUGUAUCUAACAUACAUAUUAAUACAGUGAGCGAUUUGAAUAUACAAACCGUAGAUAACGAAAUUACCGAAACGAUAUCCGAUAUAAACGAUAUCCGACGAUAAACUUUUAAGCGUCACUCAUAAACCUGAUUUUGAUAUUCCUGAAGAGGACAAAGAUAAUCAAUCACACAUUAAACCUAAUACUCAUUAGGUUUAAUGAGUAUUAGGUUUAAGGGUGGCUGUUCUGUUUAAUGAUUUCUGGUAUCCGGGAGUAGUUUUAUCUCUUAAGCUGAAAUUUUGUAUAAACUGUCCGCGCCACCUGUGCCAAGCUCUGCCCGAUUCUUCAUUGUUCCGGGGUCUAAAGUUAUAGACGAAUUGGUUUAAUUUUCUUCUACAUAUUUAGUGUCGUUUAUAUGUGCAAUUUUUAUUUCUAAGUAUUUAAAUGAAUUAUAAUUUUUAGUUGUAUGUAUAUAAAUAAACAGCACACUUGUUUUGAUA